AACGAACGCUGGCGGCAUGCCUAACACAUGCAAGUCGAACGAGACCUUCGGGUCUAGUGGCGCACGGGUGCGUAACGCGUGGGAACCUGCCCUUAGGUUCGGAAUAACUCCCCGAAAGGGGUGCUAAUACCGGAUAAUGUCUUCGGACCAAAGAUUUAUCGCCUUUGGAUGGGCCCGCGUUGGAUUAGCUUGUUGGUAGGGUAAAAGCCUACCAAGGCGACGAUCCAUAGCUGGUCUGAGAGGAUGAUCAGCCACACUGGGACGGGGACACGGCCCAGAAUAUUACGGGAGGCAGCAGUGGGGAAUAUUGGAAAAUGGGCGAAAGCAUGAUCCAGCAAUGCCGCGUGAGUGAUGAAGGCCUUAGGGUUGUAAAGCUCUUUUACCCGGGAUGAUAAUGACAGUACCGGGAGAAUAAGCUCCGGCUAACUCCGUG
rnacentral:rRNA from 1 species